rnacentral:tRNA from 1 species
CGACCUCUAGCUCAUUCGGAAGAGCGCUGCUUUCACACGGCGGAGGUGCCCGGUUCGAACCCGGGGAGGUCGA